rnacentral:rRNA from 1 species
UACGGAGGGGGCAAGCGUUGUUCGGAAUCAUUGGGCGUAAAGGGUAUGUAGGCGGCCGAGUAAGUCAAGCGUGUAAGCCCGUGGCUCAACCACGGAAUUGCGUUUGAAACUACUUAGCUUGAGUACAGGAGAGGAAAGCGGAAUUCCCAGUGUAGCGGUGAAAUGCAUUGAUAUUGGGAAGAACAUCUGUGGCGAAGGCGGCUUUCUGGUCUGUAACUGACGCUGAAAUACGAAAGCCAGGGGAGCGAACGGG